rnacentral:sRNA from 1 species
CUCUCACCAGCUCUGUCACGUUCCAGACCCCAGACGUCACAAAGCAGUCCUGGAAACUUAAGUGCCCUAAAGAAAGAAAAUGGCUGGCUCUGCUCAGAUGCCACCUCAGCUCACCGGUGACAUACAUCUGAGACUGCAGUUUUUUUGGACCCAGAGGCCCCCCGUAGUGAGUGAUGGGGCCUGGAUCACUACCUUCUGUGAAGAGCAGCAGAGGGGGUUUCUCAGCCACUAAAGGGCAAACACAGACGCACCCAUGAUAUAGGUAUGUCCUCCCCACAGCAGUCCUUAGUAAAUGGUCUGAGGCUGCUCACCACAUGGGGAGGGAUGGGGAAAGACCCCAGGAGAUGGGCAAGGCCAAGAGAGAAGUGGGGAGCACAGGGCUUGCCCUUGGAUUCUGAGGUUCCAACAACCUGCUCUGCCCUCCCCUGCCCUGCCCUGCCCCGCUCUGCCCUGCUCAAUCCUGGAGUGGAGAGAGCUGAAGAAACCAAAAGCACAGACCCUGGCCUAGGAUGGCAGGCACCACCUCCUGCUGCCCGCAGCCCUGCCUUCUUUAUAGACAAACCCACUCCUGGCAAGGUUGGCUGGUGCCAUAGUUUGCCGGCAGCCGUGUCUAGCAUUUCUGAGGGCUUGGAUCCAGGGAUCACAUGACAAUGGGGUCCAGACAUGUAGCCCCUAGCCUAAGAACUGCCCCUCCUCAAGGUGCUGGGUAGAAACCGACAGUGGGGAAUGCUUUCAGUACACCACAAGCCAGAGAAAAGCAGUGUUGGGGAUGGGGAACGUGUGCCCACCCCACCCCCCGCCCCAGUUUGGGACCCGUGAAGCUGAGCCCCGCCCCCACUCCCUCUAUUUCAAGCAUUGCCCUUUCUGGACCUUUGAGUUGCCCAGGCCAGCCUGGGCCAGGCCAGGCCAGGCUGGGCUAGCCAGAUACCCACCCCCAUCCCCAGCUGCUCCUGAAGCUAUUAAUAGUGUUUCCCCUUCCCAGGGCUGGGUAGCACCCCCCACACCCCAGCCAAACACAUUUGCCCUUGGUCCGAUUACUCAGGAAGGGAAGUAGUCAGUCCCUAAUGCCAGCCCUAGGAUGAGAGGGGCGACGGAGGCUCUGAAGGUCACAUAGGUCGCUGCCUGGGACCAGCAGGAGCUCCAAGGAAGAGGCAAACCCUAGCCCAGGAGCAUAAUAUAGAAGGGAAGACCUAGGGAAGGAAUUAGGGCCAGGCCAAGCAGCAUUGUGGGGGGUUGUGGGGAGGCCCAUGCCAAAAGCCAGAGGAAGCCAGAGGAGGCAAAGGAGGCAGCCGGGGAGAAGCUGAGUGAACUGCUUCUUGCUGCUAGUCUAUGUGAGGAAGAGCAUUCGGCAGGGGCUGAGCUGGGACUGGGAGCCUCCAUGCCCACCCACAAGAUUUCAAUGGAGCAAGAGGAGGAGGUAGAAGAGGAGGGGGGAGGAAGAGGAAGAAAAUGUGAGAAGAGAGUCCUCUCAGCUUAGUAUAGAGAAAGCCCCCAAGCUGCAGCCUUUUUACCAUAGGACAUGGAGCCCAAGGGACAGAGAUGGAGGGACAGGACAUGAGCCUCUGCACCUCUGCUACCCUGGGCUUCUCUAGUCCUCCUGCGGCCCACUCCUGUCCAUGAAUGCUGGGGACUUAGUGGAAAGAAUAUAGGAGAGCCCACCUGCCUUGACUCACCAUAAAGGGCAGGCUGCAUUGAAAUCCCCACCCCUGGCCACCUCCCCUCUGGCUGUGGGCAGAAAGAGGGGCAAACACAGACACAUCCCAUAACCAGAUAUUUCAGCAGGACUCAAUUCCCACCUACAGGCCUAGCAGUCCUGUCUUCAAACCUUACCCGCUGGGUACCCUCCGGCUGGGCCAGCACUGGCAGACAGGCCUGAACCAUCAGCCCCAUGAGGCUAAGGCCUCGUGACUGUGCUCACUGCUUCGUCUUUACCACCUCUCAAAGACUCAGAGCCCUUUCUAGAUCCUUCUUGCAACCGUGGCUUCUACCCUGAUGCACCCCUUAGGGGACAGAGCACCGCUAGCUGGCACCUUCCUCCCCUGCUGAAGAUAGGCUGUAUUCCUGUCUCCACCUUUAACCCUGUAAACCUGAGCCGAGCCUCCCAUCAAAGGAUUCGAUGGACAGGAGGAGCCCAGGUUAGGCAAGACAAGAGAGUACUCUGCCCAUGGCCUACUCCUCUGCCACUUUAGAGACCCAAAGGCUGCAAGAGCCAUUUAGACAAGACAUGAAGGACCUGGGAUCUUGACUCUAAGUGUUUGUGUUGUUGGUUUUUUAAAAUAAAAGCUUCUCUGCUGCUA